rnacentral:lncRNA from 1 species
GACUUGUCAUCUCUAAGUGCACGUAGCUGUGGAUUCCUAGAACUGGGCAGCCCUGCUCUACAGUGCGACAACAUGAAGGCCAGCAGUCAUUGGACAACAGGGAGAAAGGAGUUCAGCACCUGUGAAGCAAAGCCAAGAAGUGGCACCUGCAGGCUGGCAGAGCUAUCGCUGGUCCUGAAGCUGAGAGACAGGGUUCCCAGGAACAUCUUGACCGAGUUCCCCGCUUCCACGACACCACGGUGGCAGGUGCCGAACAUCUCCUGGUCACCUGUGAUGUAUCAAAUCCACAAAUAUCUCUGGAGAAACACCUCUGAAGGUGGCCAACAGGGAUAGUAGCAAGCAGCGGAAACUGUCCCUGAAGCCAAAUGGAGCCUUCCCUUGGUCACCGUGGCUUUUUGGAUCACCACAUUUUCCUAGUUUUUCUACAAAUCAAUUUUCUUCAAGGAGAAGCGUUUGAAUUUUUAGCUGGUACAAACAAACAAACAAACAAACAAACCAACCAACCAACCACCACCAGCCACUGCAGAGGCUACGGAAGCUCACUCAGUCUAAGGUAGCCAGCUUGUGCCUCCGGCGGCCCGGGAAGGUCACUAUGGGAUAGGAAAAGAGUUCACAAAAGUACCGCCUUGCUGCCCUGAGGUAGUAGGGGAGGGAUGAGGAAGAGAGGUCUUCAUAGAAGAGGAGGCCAGGGGUUGGAGAGAUGGCUCAGUGGUUAAGAGCACUGACUGCUCUUCCAAAGGUCUUGAGUUCAAAUCCCAGCCCAGCAACCACAUCGUGGCUUACAACCAUCUGUAAUGAGAUCUGAUGCCCUCUUCUGGUGUGUCUGAAGACAGCUGCAGUGUACUUACA